UUUUCUCGAUGCUGCUUGGCUCUCUAAAUAGAGUGAUCAAGAAAACCAGACAAUGAAUUAAAAUCGGCAAUUUUUAAGGUACCAAUGAUGUUUUAAGGGCUGUUUGGCAACUUCUGAAUGGUUAAGUGAUGAAUUAGUAAGAGGUCUGAACCAUUAAGUGAUGAACCAGUAAGAUGUCUGAACCAUUAAGAGCUAGUAUAAUACUUAACCGUUCAGAGGCAAAGGUCUGACCAAUUCAGAUUAGAGGUCUUAACCAUUCAGAGGAAAAUGUCUGAACUAUUCAGACAUCUGCUUGUGAAACAAACAGUCUUAACCAUUAAGUGCUGAACCAGUAAGAGAUCUGAACCAUUAAGAGCUUCAUUAAGAGGUAAACAAACUGCCCCUUAGUCGGUUUUGUUUAACGUUUGUUUCAACUACUUUAGUGACGACAAAUUGGCGAGUCAAACUACAAGAAAGUGACCGCAUUCGGUACCCCAAUUAAUCUUUUUUUGGUUUGUCGAGUGUCA
rnacentral:lncRNA from 1 species